rnacentral:tRNA from 1 species
GGCCCCGGUAGCUCAGCCCGGUUGGAGCGCCCAGGGGCAAUAAGCGGGAGGUCCCGGGUUCGAAUCCCGGCCGGGGC